UCCCUGGUGGUCCAGUGGUUAGGACUCUGUACUUUCACUGCCAAGGGCCUGGGUUCAACCCUGGUCAGGAAA
rnacentral:tRNA from 1 species